rnacentral:rRNA from 1 species
GAUGAACGCUGGCGGCGUGCCUAACACAUGCAAGUCGAGCGGACGGACGUGAAGCUUGUGGCGCUCAUGUUAGCGACGGACGGGAGGGUGACACGUGGAUAGCCACCAUAUAUGGCUGGGACAACUACGGGAAACCGGGCCUAGUACCAGAUAAUAUAAUCAACCGGAGGGGGCAAAUGCGCAUGAUGGUCUUGCUGUUACGUAAAGAUGUAUCCGCGCUGAAUAAGCGAGGUGGGAAGGGAAUGGCUUACCAAGGCAACGAUGCAUAGCCGACCUGAGAGGGUGAUCGGCCCUACUGCAAGUGAGACACGGUCCAGACUCCUACGGGAGGCAGCAGUAGGGUACUUUGGGCAAUGGGCGAAAGCCUGAUGGAGCAAUGCCGCGUGGGUGAAGAAGGCCUUCGGGUCGUAAAGCUCUGUUAUUAGGGAAGAACAUCUGCGUAUGUAGCUGAAGACGUAUUGACGGUACCUAAUGAAUAAGCAACGGCUAACUACGUG